GCCCGGCGGGGCUCCCGCCCGCAGGGGCCGGGGAGCGAGCCUGGGGCCUGCCCGGCCCGGGGCGGGGGUGGGCGGGCCUGCCUAGCGGCCAGGGCGGCUGGCUGUGGGGUGCGCCCCGAGGGCUCCCUCCCCUGGUUUUUCGGAUCGGUACUGCAGGGGAAGCGCUUGUGCGGCCUGAGCGGCGCCGGUUCGCUGCAAGGCGCUGCCGUGCGUCAGGGCUCCGAGAGGGUGUACUUGUCCCCGGGGUGACUUCCUCGUCUCAGCUCUUCCCGCUCUCUCCCUCUUUCCUUGACGUCCCCUUUCCGGAGGGCACCGUCUAUCUCCGGGCGCAGAGCCGUCGGGAAGCACCCUGCUUCCACUGGCUGCCAGCCCCGGCCACCCUGGGCCCGGCCCGGGAGGGAGCGAGCUGCAGCGAGGCAGUGCUGGGGACAGCGGUCCGAUGGAGCUCACCAUGCCUCCCGCUCUGGCCGGCCAUUCCCAGGUCCUCCUCAUCUGACUGCACCACAGGGGUCUCAGCCCCCUCCUCGCUGGUGUCCAGGCUGUUCAGAUCCGUGGAGACAGAGGAUGUGGAAGAAAUGCGUGACUUGCUCUCUGCUCCACUGGGCACUUGCAGGGUGAUUUCCUCUGGGCACUGGCUGGCAUCUGCCCCUGGAGGAGAGAGCGCCCAGAAACACGUCCACAGUGUCAUGGUCUGACAGGUCCAUCAUGUCCAUCUGCUCCAGCAUGUCCACAUUCACCUCCAUGGAGGAAAUGCUGCCUAAGGGGGCUGCAGAGACAAAGGCCAGUGAAAAGGUGAGACAUAGGGAAGAAGAAAUCCACAUCAUGCUGGAACACCUCCUCAAAGAACUUCUGCCGGUCCCGUAGUUUCAGCUGCUGCUGCUGCAUCUGCUCUGCAUCCAGGCUCCGCUGCGCCUGCUCCAUGUCAGCUGGGGAGAAAGUUCAACGUCAGUGCCUGUGUCCUCGGCUUGCACAGGAGGGAGUGAUGGGAGCCCUCGGGCUGUUGCUGAAGGAGCUUGUCGCUGCAUCUCUGGGCCUGGUACUACCCUUUCCAGUUGGGUACCCAAACAGCAAAGACCCAAAUGGCACAGAGGGUCUGCGGUUGGUGGCCCCGGCUGUUCCCAGGCUGGUGUUUGACCUCAGCCAUUCCAGAUUUCCUCUCUGCUCCUCUUGGCCCAUCCGGCACAAGGAAAAUGUGAUUACUGGAGCAGGCGGUGCAGUAACCAAGGAAACCAAACAAACAUCCUCUGCUCUGCCUAAGCGUGGCCCAAACCCUCUGCUCCUCCAGGCUGGGGAGGCGGGAGCAGAGGGAGCAGCAUCCCCACCCUGUCUGGCAGGAGUGGGGGUGAGGAUAGCAGGGGCCAGGCUGCCAGCAAUAUGUAGCAGCAUAGGACCCAAACAGGGAAGAGAUAGUGGGCCUGGUGAGAUGUCCUGGAGAUCAAUGUCACAUCUUCCUGAGAGCCUUUCCAGGGCUCCUCUGCACCCUGUUUUUGGGGCAUGCUACAGCUAAACCCCAUCAUCUGCAGGCACCUGCCCCAGGAGGCUGGGUUGUGCCUGCAGCACAGUGUGGGGAUGCACCGUGACUCAGGGCCAGUCACCAUGUGGUUUCUGGAAGAGGCUCUGGUCCUCUUCUGGAUGCUCAGCAUCUUCCUGAUGCCCAGGGCAGUGAUUCUAGCUGCCUGAAGGGGCUUUUGCCUCGGUAUGUCCGACCUAAGCACUGGGUGCCUGCUCUGGUGCCGAGACUUGAGAUUCGGUGCGCUGUGCAGCACCCAGGCUAACAGCUGUGGUGGCAGAUGCACCGUGCUGGUGAAGCAGCUCAGUGCCGUGGGGGUAAGGCAAAACCCUCCUCUCUCCCCUGUGCUACGUGCAAAAGAGAAUGGAGCCAAGGACAAGGAGGGGGUGACCAGGGCGCUGAUUACAGAGCUGGCUCCUUUCAGCAGCUAGAGCCAGCCCUGUCCUGUCUGUCCCAGGCAGAGCUCUACUCCCUAGCACAGCUGUGCUGAAUCCAUGGCAAACUCUGGCAGCUCUGCAACCGAGGAGAGCCCAUCGGGCUCCAGCUUCAGGAUGCUGCGCUCAAGGCGGAGGCUGCUUUGGCUCCCAGCUUCAGGGCGACAGACCGGCUCUCCGUGCAACAUCUUGCCAAAGGGACUCCAGCGUGGAGGUAAGGAGGAAAGUCUCUAAAUCCUCCUGCAUCACACUUACAAAAUAAACCAAAAUGCUAGUG